UCCACACAAAUUGAGGAACUAACAUCCACAUUUCAAUUCAUGAGUGUUUCACUUCCCUUUCCUUGUUCCAUUUUCAGACUCAUGAUGUUCUAACCUGAAAUAAUAUCAUCAACAAUAAUGUUUUUAGAAGAUGAAAAAGAACCUUAACAAGAAAAAUGAAGUUCAACGCUCACUUCUCAUCACAUAGUUUCACCAAUACUCUUCUUCAGGUAAGAAACUUUAUAUAUAUAUAUUAUCUGGUUCUUUAAAUUAUGAUUAUUUAUGCCGUAGAUUUAUUAUUCUUCCACGCUAGGGUCAUUUAGUAGAAGGUAUUAGAAAAAAUAAUACAUAUAUUAUUAGUUUUGAUAUAUUAUUUAUUAAUCCCUUAUUUGGUUAGGGUAAUAUUCUUAUUCUAAUACACUCAUAACAAAUCAAACCGUCAAUAAAAAAUAAUACUAAAAUUAUACACCCUACAAAAACCCCUUUUAGUAUUUGUGUGUUAAUGUGUUAGUGAUUAGCUACAAGUAAUUAAUCAAGCCUGAAGAACAGAUAAUUUUAAUUUCUUACAAGUAGAGUUAGUAAUCUGAACAGAAACAAGAGACAUUAUUUGUUUAUAAUGGGUUAAAAUACACUAAUAUUUUUUAAAAAAAAUUAUACUAUGAUAUUCCUUGAUAAAAAUUUUUAGCUUCUCAAUAGAGAAAAAGAUAGCGACGCAAGCUUUCUGUUCGCCAGUAAAAUCAUACUCUCUGCUUAAUUUAUGUGACACGUUUUAUUUUUUAUUCUAGUAAAGAUUGUUACUUUUCUACUACGUAUUAAAAAUAACUUAAUUUUAAUAAAAACAAUUUAUAAAAUAAAAUAUCUUAAAUUUUUUUAACACGUUUUUUUUCCUUAAAUUUUAUGUCAAAUCAGUCGGUAUCACUAUACAAAUAUUAGGUCAUUGGUGAUAGUACAAGAAUUAAUUAUGAGUAAUUAAUGUAGGUUAAUGAUAUGAUGAGAAGUCAUAAUACGAGGUUACACCUUUCGACUAUUGAUUGGCUAACGGCCGUGGAAUUCUCCAUUUGUACUAAUAAGAUAUGACAUGUAGGGACAUACAAUUUUAUCUUCUCCAUGUCUUUUAUUUUUCCUUUUAUCGUGUUUGUAUAUUUUCAAAUAAUAGAAACUUCAAAAUUCCUAAUAAUAGUUUCAAAUAUAUAAAGUAUAUAUUACUAUUCAAUUUAUCUAUCUUACUUUUUAAAAUUUUAUGCAAAAUAUUGAUGACUAGUUUUUAAAAAAAAUUGAAGGUAGAAAAAAGAAAUUACAAGGUCGAGAAUCAAACUUUCAUAAACAAGGUAAAUACUUAAAGUCAAUCAAUUAAAUUACUAAAAAUUUUACGUGUUCAAAACUAUCACACAAGAUUUAAGCAUUUUAAUACAUAAUAUGCAUGUUUAAUUUAAAAUUUUAAGAUUCUAAAGUCUAUACUAUAUUCUUAAAUGAUGUGUUUAGUCAAACUACGACACAUAAAAAUUAAUGUAAUGAAGGGGGACUUUAGAAAAAAGUUUUUAAAGAUAUAUAUAUAAAAUGUGGACAGAAGUGCUCCAUGAAAGAAACAAUGAAGAGGAAAAAGAGGAUAAAAACAUAGAGAGAUAUUGGUGGCCCCUUUAGGGCUUGAGGGUAUGUGUGGUGCUUCAUUUUUGGGGUUUUGUUUUGUUUGUUUGUUUUGUUUAGGCUAAUAGAAUGUGUGAUGAAUAGUUCCAAAUCAGUUAGCACUACCUUUUACCAUUGUGGAAUGGGCAUAAAAGAUGUGAAUGGGGGACUUAAAGGUACACACCACAGGAAUAACUCUUUUUUGUUCAUUCAUUAUACAGAAAGUGACACUAUUUUUGUUCUCUAACGUAGCUGAGGCCUCAUUUAUUUACACAUAAUAGAGAUUUUGAAUGAUAGAAGUUUUAGAAUCUUUAUAUUGAGAAUUAAGUAUUUCCUAAACAAAACUUUUACACAGAUCAUUAAAAGAUAUUUUUGUGUGAAUAAUUUUCACAUGCACAAUCAUCAACCACCUAGUUAAUCACAUUCAACAUCACAAUUACCAAUACAUCAUUGACCACUAUACAUAAUAUAGUCAAUACUACUAACAUUAGCUACUAAUUACAAUCACUACUAUCACUACCACGUACCAAUUGUCAUUAAUCACACAUCAUUACAACGAGCAUCAAUCAUCACCACCACCGUUGCUACGGACCAUCUUUAUCAUCACUAGCAAACAUAAUAUUUAUUUAUUUUAAUUAAAUUUUUAUAUUUUUUCUUAUAUUUAAUUUCUUUUUUUAUUUGAAUUGUGUAUUUAUUAUAUUUAAAAAUAAAUAAAUUUUGUAAUUUCAUUGAGAAACAUAAUUAAACAAUUAAACAUAUACGCUUUGUAGUCCCAAAAGAUUGGACAAUAUAUAGUCAAUAAGCUCUUUUAAUAUAAACACUUGCAUAUAUUUAUUUAAUACAUAGAAAAACAUCUCUAUAAUAAUAUUUCAUUAUAAUGAUAAAAUUCUCUUAAAAACAUACUUUUGAUAUUACAUUAUACUCUAUAUCUUUCUUAACAACAUUUUGUUAUGACAGUAAAAAAGAUAUUCGGAAAAUAACAAUAUUAUUACUAGAAAGGUUUGACGGUAUAUUUUACUUUGCAUAAUAAAGUCAAUACAGAAUUUAAUCAAUAUACAUGUUUACUGAAAUAAAUAAACAAAUCUUUAUUAGAUGCAUGUUUAAAGAGCUCUUUUUGGAAAAAGUUUCGUUCCGAAAAUUUCGGCCAACUUAAUUUGUUUGACUACAAAGGAAAAAAUAAACUGUCACACCUUACGUAGCCUGAAAUUCAGCCGGCCAUAUUUUGGACUGCUUUUAUGUGUUCAAUUCAUUUAUCAUAUUUAGAACUCAUUUAGAAUCCGUUUGGAUUGAUUUAAAAAAAAUUAUUUUUAAGUCAAAAAUAUAAAAUUAAACGUAAAUAACUUUUAAGUCGAAAAAUAAAAAGUAAGGGAGAUUUACUUUUGAUUUUUGACUUAUUUCAAGUCAUUUUUUUACCUUACCAAAUACUUCAUAACUUAUUUUAAGUCAUUUUUAAUUUGUUUUAAGUUAUUUUUUUAUUUUUGUCAAACACUUUCAGAAGUCAAAAAUUGAUUUAAAAGUAGGUUUGACCAACUUUUAAAUCAAUUCAAACACACUCUCUUAGUACGAGGGAUAAAGAAAAUAACUUAUUCCAAAAUAAACUUUAGAAUAAGUUCAUCUUUUUUGAGAUAAAAUUACGAAAUAACUUAUUUUGAUAUUAGUUAUUGCAAGAUUAUAGAACUAUUUUUAAAUAUAUUAAAGGUAAAAAAACAAUUUUGAAAUAAUUAUUUUUGAAAAAUUUAAUUUCUGAUAAACUUAUUUCCCAAUCAAACGAGUCAUUACAAUUUCUUUCUGCAGUACUAAUAUUGUGCCAUUGUUGUUGAGCGAUUUGGCUUGACAACUAUCAUAUCUAAUUCACCAUACAACAAAAGAACAAAGAAAAGAAGGGAACAUUAAACUUAUAAUCUCCAAAAAUAUAAACAUCCAAGACUGAGACAUUCAGUCUUCGAAAAAUAUUAUGGAAGAUAUAUAUUUUUAUAAAUGAUCAAUUUCAUAUCUAUCAAUUAUAUUAUUAACUAACGAAAAAAGUUUACCUUUGUCAUAUCUAGUUGAAAUGAUCCUUUUUUUUCUCCUUUUCUAUAGGGAAAAAAUAGUUGAGGACAUUCCUUUUUUUUCACCUUUUCUAUAGGGAAAAAAUAGUUGAAGACAUUAGUUUAGUUAAGAAAUCAGGUACCUAAUUAGCUUCUCUAAAAUGAAAUAAUGUGAUAUAAACAAUCUCAAUAAUAAUAAUUAGAGUGCAGAUCAAGAUUGAACCUGCUGAACACAGAGAAUUUCGUAAUUGAAAAGAAUAAAGACUACUUUCUUCGUUUCAAAAUAAAUGGUGUUUUUAGCUUGAACAUAUUGAUUCUUAGAGAAACUACUCAUUUGUAUAAGAUAAAGAGUAGUUUUACUACUUACCCCUAAUUAAAUGCCUUGAAGAAUAAGUGAUUCUAUAAUGAUGUACAAUUCCAUGUAUUAAAACAAGAGUAAUUUUAUAAGAAUAAAAUCAAUUCCUAUCAAAACAAAAUAAACAGGCCAAAACACCACUUAUUUUGAAACGAAGGAACUACAAUUUUAACCUUCUCCUUUGUAGAAAGUUCAGGAAAUUAUUUGGUUGAGAUUUUUUAAUAGAAAAAUAGUAUUCAAAAUUGAUGUUGAAAAGGAGUAUUUUGAAGUUAAAAUUGUGUUUUUAGUCCUCUUGCUGAAAUGCCUUCCAAAAAGAUUAUUUAUUUCCCCUUAUUGAAACAAGAUGGACAUGAAAACAAAGUUCAAAGUUUUGUAUGUGAAAACUUUAAAUCAUUUGUAAAAUUUUCCAUGUUGUAAUGACAAUAUGAAUUAAUUCAUAUAUAGAUUAUCAAUUGAAAUGAUUAUUAUUAAAAUUCAGUUUCAUUAGUCCCUUACUGUAUACCUCCAAUCUUCUACACCAAUAAACAUUCUUAUCAAAACAAAUUACUUGUAAUUAAGUGUUACUUAUGAGACUUCUUGGAAAUAUAUGUUUUUUCAUCAGAACUUUUGGUUCUGCCACUGUGUACUGCAUGUCUUGGGAAUGUUCAAAAUUAUUAUUAAAACACACAAAGACCAAGUUGAGUAACAUCCAUAUAUACUAGUGAUAUUCCAAUUACAAAGUACUUAUGAACUUUCUCACACAAAAUAAUGUACAUCUUCCCCUAUUUUAUAUAAUGUCACAUCUCUAAUGUUUUUUUUAUUAGAAUGAUGAGAAAUAACACAACUAACAUAAUAUACAUCACAAUAAAUGUAUAAAAGACUUGAGAGAAGAUACAAAACAUUUUGAAAAUCAAUUUAAGUUUACCAAUUAUAUGGGUGUGAAUAUAUAAUUAUCUAUUUUGAAUGACAUUAAAUACUAUCUCUAACUAGGAAUGGAAUAGACAUAAACUGAAGAUUUUGGCCCUUGUUUUUUUUUAACUUUUGGAUCCAAAAAUAUGUUGAAUUCUUCUGCUCUUUUGCCUUCUUUCUUUAGUUUAGUUUUUUAAUUACAGUUUUAUCUCUACAUAACUUGAGCAAUUUAUAACUCUAAUGAUGAAGAAAUAGUUUACACUUUACAUGUGAUUAUAACCAUAAAAUUGUGAUUAACUAAUUAUCCAGAGAUAAAGUCUUCCAGUUUGUCACACCAUAUUUAUGUUUGGUGUAACAUGUGAAUAUAUUAACUCCUAAACAUGACAUGAUCUUUUAGCCCUACAAAGUUCUAUUAUCAUAUGCCAUAGAACGAAUGGUACCUAUUUGUUUAGAGUACAUAUCCAUCAAAAGACAUAUAAAAGUUAUAUUGCUCGGACUCUUCAAAAAUAUUCACAAACUAUGUGUGUUGCAUACUAAAAAAUAGUACAUUUUUGGAGAAUCCAAACAACAUAGUGUAGACAUGGCAUAAACUUAAUCCAAUCUUUAGGAAAAAAUUAAGACAUAGUAACUAGUUAAUCUCUUAAGGCAAACAAGCUAAGUAAAAGUUUAACACUUUUGUUUAAACUAUUUGUCGAGCUUCAAAGAGGAUUACAUAAUCCAAAUAACUAAAUCAACUGUGAUUACUUUUAAACUACCAUUCAAAGAGUAUAAUUAAGAGAGAGUAGAGGGUUAAUUACAUGGCUUAAUAACAACAUGAAGUAUCCUUCGUUGAGUGCCUUACAAAACUCAGGAGAUUUGGAUCGUCUACCAACAGCUGCAAAGGCAUACACAUAACUAAAAUCACAAAAUUAGUGUUAGCAGCUAGUAUGUAUCGUCUAUCAAUAGCUGCAAAGGCAUAAUUUAACUCACAAAAUAGUGUUAGUAAUUGAGCAAUCUAACAACACUUUCAGAUCUAAUCGACAAAAUUGCCAAGCAAGAAAUAACAUCAAAAGUAGUCAUACAAAUUCGAAAACCUAUCUUCUUCUUUCGCACAGAUUUGUGUACGAAAAAAAGAAAAAACGAAAGAGGGCGAAGGUGAUGACAGAAGCAUAGAGAGCACAAAUGAAGUGAGAUGCUUUUGCUGAAUGAAAUUAGCAUAUCAUCAUUAGUGCUCUCUAUCUUCUGUCAACAAUUAUCACCAACCUUUCUUCCUAUCAAUUUCAAUUAUAUAACCUAAAAAUCAAAUACAAAGAACAAAAUAAGAUUUUUUUGGGUUUGGGGGAAGAGAAAGGGUGUUAGGGCUAUAUUUGGGGCUAGAAGAAAUAUUAUAUAGAUAGAUAUUUGGGGGUGGGUUUAACCUAUUGAGUUGUAGCAGUAGAGAGGGGUCUUUUUAUAGGAAAAAAUAGCAAGGAAGUGAAGAUUCAGGGAAAGGUUAUUAUUGGUAAAUAAAGAAAAGAAAAGGGUACUAUUGUGUACUAUCCCCAUUUUGUUAUAACAGUUUUUCACGACUAGUGUUUAGGUAAAAGGACAACAACAUCCACUCUUAACAAACUCCACUCAUAUGAAUUAGUAGGCGUUUGGAAAUACAAUUUCAAAUCGUGAUAUGAAAUUAUGUUUGAAUAUGUAAUUUCACGCUGAUUUCUUAUCAUGAGAUGAAAUCUCAAAUUUUCCAAAAAACAUGAUUUGGCGGUUUCCAUGUUCACCUUCACCUUUCGAGUUCUUGAACAUGAACUGGUUUAGAAGGUAAAUUUUUUAUAGUAAAUGUAUAUUUUAAUUGAAUUUUAAAAUGAAUGAGAUAUUGAAUGAAAAAUCAAAAACUAAAUCAUGCAUUGUUGCAUAUUACCGUCGCUUAUUUGAGUUUAGAAAUUAAUUUUCUUUAUUAAUUGUGAUAUUUAAAUCAAUUUAUGAAUAUUGAUUAGUUUGACUAUAUAUGUGUACUCAAAAAGCAUUUUAUAACUAAUCGUUUAAGAAAUUUUAGUUUAUUAUUAAGAAUUUUAGGUUUUUAUUGGAUAACAAAGAUUAGAAAUUUAUUCAAAAUAUUUAAUAACUUGAUUUAUCGUAAUAAUAAGGUCAAUUUUUUAAAGUACUUUCUGCGAUGUUUUCCUAUUUGUCAUGUCACUACAUCAAAAAUGAUCUUUAGCGGUAAAUUAAUUAACGGUAAUAGCUCAAUUGCCGUUAAAUAUGUAUUUUUAGCAGCAAUUAGCACUCUUUGUAUAUGUCCCUAAAGUCUUUAGCGACAUUGAAUCUAAUGCACUUAACUAAUGCAACUAAAGACUUUAGCACUCUUUAUUAAUGUGUCUAUUUAUUAUCACUAAAAGUUAUUUUUGUUGGAAGAGUGUUGUGCUAAAUUCACUCAGGAACCCUUCUUGUAUGGUUUUUUGAUGCAAUAG
rnacentral:lncRNA from 1 species